rnacentral:rRNA from 2 species
GUCUGACCUCGGAUCAGGUAG